GAGUGAAAUGAUGGCAUACCAUCUUUCGGGACUGACACAGCAAUGGAGAUAACUAUUUUUUAGUAUUACUGAUCACUC